UACGUAGGGUGCGAGCGUUAAUCGGAAUUACUGGGCGGAAAGCGUGCGCAGGCGGUUCGUUGUGUCGGCGGUGAAAGCCCCGGGCUUAACCUGGGAAUGGCCGUUGAAACUGGCGAACUGGAGUGUGGCAGAGGGGGGUGGAAUUCCGCGUGUAGCAGUGAAAUGCGUAGAGAUGCGGAGGAACACCGAUGGCGAAGGCAGCCCCCUGGGCUGACACUGACGCUCAGGCACGAAAGCGUGGGGAGCAAACAGG
rnacentral:rRNA from 1 species